rnacentral:tRNA from 1 species
AGGCUGAUAGCUCAAUGGUAGAGCAGUACCCUUUUAAGGUAUUGGUUCUGGGUUCGAGUCCCAGUCAGCCUA